rnacentral:rRNA from 1 species
UACGUAGGAUCCAAGCGUUAUCCGGAAUCACUGGGCGUAAAGCGUACGUAGGCGGCGUGUUAAGUGUGAUGCGAAAUCUGGUGGCUCAACCAUCUAGACUGUGUCGCAUACUGGCAUGCUAGAGAGUGGCAGAGGCAAGUGGAAUUGGCAGUGUAGCAGUGAAAUGCGUAGAUAUUGCCAGGAACACCAAUGGCGAAGGCAGCUUGCUGGGCCAUUUCUGACGCUGAGGUACGAAAGCGUGGGGAGCGAACAGG